AUUGAACGCUGGCGGCAUGCUUUACACAUGCAAGUCGAACGGCAGCGGGGAGGAGCUUGCUUCUCUGCCGGCGAGUGGCGAACGGGUGAGUAAUACAUCGGAACGUGUCGAGAAGAGGGGGAUAACCACCCGAAAGGGUGGCUAAUACCGCAUAAAUUCUGAGGAAGAAAGCUGGGGACCUAGGAAUAGGCCUAGCGCUUUUUGAGCGGCCGAUGUCGGAUUAGCUAGUUGGUGAGGUAAAGGCUCACCAAGGCGAAGAUCUGUAGCGGGUCUGAGAGGAUGAUCCGCCACACUGGGACUGAGACACGGCCCAGACUCCUACGGGAGGCAGCAGUGGAGAAUUUUGGACAAUGGGGGCAACCCUGAUCCAGCCAUGCCGCGUGUAUGAAGAAGGCCUUAGGGUUGUAAAGUACUUUUGUUAGGGAAGAAAAGUCAGCUGUGAAUAAUGGCUGAUACUGACGGUACCUAAAGAAUAAGCACCGGCUAACUACGUG
rnacentral:rRNA from 1 species